AGAGUUUGAUCCUGGCUCAGAACGAACGCUGGCGGCAGGCCUCAUACAUGCAAGUCGCACGAUUAAAGCUCCCUUCGGGGAGUGUAUAAAGUGGCAAACGGGUGAGUAACAGGUGGAUAAUCUGCCCUUUGGCGGGGGAUAACGGUUGGAAACGACCGCUAAUACCGCAUGUGAUUGCUUUUCCUCCGGGUUUAGCAAAGAAAGGCGCUUCACGGCGCCGCCAAAGGAUGAGUCCGCCCCCCAUUAGCUAGUUGGUAAGGUAAUGGCUUACCAAGGCUUCGAUGGGUAGCCGAGCUGAGAGGUUGAUCGGCCACACUGGGACUGAGAUACGGCCCAGACACCUACGGGUGGCAGCAGUAGGGAAUAUUGCGCAAUGGACGAAAGUCUGACGCAGCCAUGCCGCGUGAGUGAUGAAGGCCUUCGGGUCGUAAAGCUCUUUUCUGAGGGAAGAACAUCCAGUGCAGGAAAUGGCACUGGCUUGACGGUACCUCAGGAAUAAGGAGCGGCUAACUCCGUGCCAGCAGCCGCGGUAAUACGGAGGCUCCUAGCGUUGUUCGGAAUUACUGGGCGUAAAGGGAGCGCAGGCGGAAUGAUUAGUCUGAAGUGGAAGUCCGGGGCUCAACCUCGGAAGUGCUACGGAUACUGUCAUUCUUGAGAUCGUGAGAGGAAAGCGGAAUUCAGGGUGUAGCGGUGAAAUGCUUAGAUAUCCUGAGGAACACCAAUGGCGAAAGCAGCUUUCUGGCACUGAUCUGACGCUGAGGCUCGAAAGCGUGGGUAGCGAACGGGAUUAGAUACCCCGGUAGUCCACGCCGUAAACGUUGUCAACUAGGUGCGAGAGGUAUCGACCCCUUUCGUGCCGAAGCUAACGCAUUAAGUUGACCGCCUGGGGAGUACGCGCGCAAGCGUGAAACUCAAAGGAAUUGACGGGGGCCCGCACAAGCGGUGGAGCAUGUGGUUUAAUUCGAGGCAACGCGAAGAACCUUACCCAGGCUUGACAUCCCGUGACCGCCAUGGAAACAUGGUUUUCCCUUCGGGGACACGGUGACAGGUGUUGCAUGGCUGUCGUCAGCUCGUGUCGUGAGAUGUUGGGUUAAGUCCCGCAACGAGCGCAACCCCUAUCCUUAGUUACAGCACGUUAUGGUGGGCACUCUAAGGACACUGCCGGUGAUAAGCCGGAGGAAGGUGGGGACGACGUCAAGUCAUCAUGGCCCUUACGCCUGGGGCCACACACGUGCUACAAUGGCCGGUACAAUGAGCUGCAAAGCCGCGAGGUGGAGCGAAUCUCAAAAAGCCGGUCUCAGUUCGGAUAGGAGUCUGCAAUUCGACUCCUUGAAGUCGGAAUCGCUAGUAAUCGCGUAUCAGCUACGACGCGGUGAAUACGUUCCC
rnacentral:rRNA from 1 species